GUACACAUGUGAUUUGCCAGGAAACAAGUAUGUGACAUAAUAUACAAGAUAAUGCGAGAAGAACCAUUGGUUUAUAAAGAUAAAGAAGUGCAAACCCUGAAGCAGGUUCCUAAGAAGGUGCGUGAACAGAGAAAAGAUUAUAAGUUUUUGGCAACACAACUUAUCCAGAAGAACAUAAUGUUUUGAUGGUUAAUUCCAGAAGGCUUGUUGGUAACAUGGCAGGAAAAGAGGAUCAGGAUAGAUAAUGUAGACAAGGCACAAGAUUUCUAUGAGCAGAUUGGAAGAACAGAAGAAGAAAGCAGCGGUAGGGAGGAGCUAGAGACAGAAAGCCAAGAACAACAACAGCAAGAUAUAGGAGGCCUAGAACAAGAAGGAGAGAACAAGGAGGAGACGGAAGGAAGAAGAUUAAGAACACGCCCGCAAAGAGAGACUAGAAUUAAUAGAAGACAGAUAAUAUCCCAAAAGUAGAAAGAUGGAAACAGAAACGAAGCUAUUAUCAUUAAACAUAAAUGGUCUAAACUCACCCAUUAAAAGGAAACAGAUACUAUCUAGAUUAGCCAAACAGAAAUUAGAAAUAGUAUGCCUGCAAGAAGUUCAUAUUAAAAAACAAUUUUGGAAAUGUUUAGAAUAUCCUAAAUUAGGAAGGUUAUUUGUAGCCCUGGCAGAUCAAAAACAGAAAGGGAUAGCGGUAUAUGUUAAAAAAGAAAUUAAGGCAGUAGAAAAAUAUGUGUAAUGUAUGUGUUUUA